UCUCAUUCAAUAUUUUCUAGAAGCCAAAGGAAGAGGGAGGGAUAGUGUAAUUGUUCAGUUUAAAUGAUUGUCCCACAUCAAAUAAGAGAUUCUAAUUGUUUCUAAAGCUUUUAUUAUUCAUAAAAUAUUUUUCCUGUAUUCUUCACAAUUAAAAUAUCCUAACAUUUUCGUGAAGAUGUAAGCUACAUCAGAUACAGUGGGGUUUUUACUUAGGACUGAAACCAUCAUUGGUUAAAUUUAUCAUCAGUGUUCAUUUCUCUUGUAUCUAGAGCUCUAAUCAAAUGAUUGUAUUAGCUUAGUAGACACUGUGUUGUGUGUUACAGUGUUAGAUUGUGAACUUGUGUAGCUUAGGUAAGCAUCAAACCCCUUUAUUUUUGUAUAGUAGAUUUUCAGCACUAGAACCAUGUAGAAAAUCAAUAUGCCAAAAUGUUAAAGAUUACACAAUAAAGGAACUUGGCAAACC
rnacentral:lncRNA from 1 species